rnacentral:lncRNA from 1 species
ACUUAACCCUGAUUGCCUACCCAUUGCUGCUCUUCUGUCUUAGAACUAAUACUAAAAAAAGAAGAUAAGGGUUAAGAAAAAGGGGGGAGUUGAAGGGGGGAGAGAGAAAGAGAGAGAAGGAAUAAAGGAAGGAAGGAAGGAAGGAAGGAAGGAAGGAAGGAAGGAAGGAAGGAAGGAAGGAAGGAAGGAAGGAAGGGAGGGAGGGAGGGAGGGAGGGAGGGAGGGAGGGAGGGAGGGGGAAGAAAGGAAGGAAGGGAGGUAGAGGGAGGGAAGGAGGGAGGGGGAAGGAAGGGAGGGAGGAAGAAAAGGAAAAAAGGAAAUGAGAGGGGGAAAAGAUAUACUAGACCAUUUAUUAGCAUUUUUUCAAAUGUAAAAACUUUUCUUACCUUACAGGCCAUACAAAAACAUUUGGUGAGCCAGAUUAAGUCUUAGGGCCAUAGUUUGGGCAAAACCAACCAUGUAGCACAGAGCCUCCUGCAUGACAGGUACUGAGAGAUAUUGAUUCCAACUGAAGAGAAGGAAGAGAGAAAAGAGAAAGUAGGCAACGGAAGGAGAGAAGGGAGAAAAACGAGAAAGGAAAAGUUAGAACAUGACAAGCCCCAUGUUCAGGCUCAACAUGCAGUGACUUGAUUUACCUUUGACUUCUUGUCUUACUCCAUUACUUAAUCACAGGCUAAGACAGUGAAGGGAAAGGAAACCUUUCUAUAUCUAUUUUCUUAGUCCCAUAUCAUAGAAGGAACUAUCAGAUCAUUGACUUAGAGCUAGAAUGAACCACAGAGAUCAAUAAGUCCAACCCCCUUGUUUCACAAGAAGAGGAAACUGAAGCUGAGAAAAGUUAAAUGAUUUCCCAGAGUUGCCUAGGUAUUGCCUGAGCUGGGAUUCAUGGCUAGGUCUUCCUGAUUCAGCCUUCUUGCUUUUACUGUAUUUCUUCUCCUCAAACUCCUUAACUUUGGUGCUAUCUCCAUUGUUGGCAAAAUCUGUUUAAAAGCUGCCCUUGGGGGCAGUUAGGUGGAUCUGUGGAUUGAGAGCCAGGCCUAGAGAUGGGAGAUCCUGGGUGCAAAUUUGACUUCAGACACUUCCCAGCUAUGUGACCUUGUGCAAGUCACUUAAUUCCCAUUGCCUAGCCCUUACCACUCUUCUGCCUUGGAACCAAUACACAGUAUUGAUUCUAAGAUGGAAGGCAAGGGUUUAGAAGACCAAAA